rnacentral:rRNA from 1 species
UACGGGGGGGGGGCAAGCGUUGUUCGGAAUUACUGGGCGUAAAGGGCUCGUAGGCGGCCAACUAAGUCAGGGGUGAAAUCCCGGGGCUCAACCCCGGAACUGCCCUUGAUACUGAUAGUCUCGAGUCCGGAAGAGGUGAGUGGAAUUCCGAGUGUAGAGGUGAAAUUCGUAGAUAUUCGGAGGAACACCAGUGGCGAAGGCGGCUCACUGGUCCGGUACUGACGCUGAGGUGCGAAAGCGUGGGGAGCAAACAGG